AUUGAACGCUGGCGGCAUGCCUUACACAUGCAAGUCGAACGGCAGCACGGGUGCUUGCACCUGGUGGCGAGUGGCGAACGGGUGAGUAAUACAUCGGAACGUACCUUAUCGUGGGGGAUAACGCAGCGAAAGCUGUGCUAAUACCGCAUACGCCCUGAGGGGGAAAGCGGGGGAUCGAAAGACCUCGCGCGAUUGGAGCGGCCGAUGCCUGAUUAGCUUGUUGGUGGGGUAAAAGCCCACCAAGGCGACGAUCAGUAGCUGGUCUGAGGGGACGAUCAGCCACACUGGGACUGAGACACGGCCCAGACUCCUACGGGAGGCAGCAGUGGGGAAUUUUGGACAAUGGGGGCAACCCUGAUCCAGCAAUGCCGCGUGAGUGAAGAAGGCCUUCGGGUUGUAAAGCUCUUUUGUCAGGGAAGAAACACCGGCUCUAACACAGUCCGGGAAUGACGGUACCUGAAGAAUAAGCACCGGCUAACUACGUGCCAGCCGCCGCGGUAA
rnacentral:rRNA from 1 species